rnacentral:rRNA from 1 species
AUGGACGGCAGCAAGGCGAAGAAGGUGGCGGCGAAGAAGUUCGGCGGGCCGAGGAAGAAGUCGGUGACCAAGUCCAUCAAGGCCGGGCUCCAGUUCCCCGUCGGCCGCAUCGGGCGCUACCUCAAGAAGGGCCGCUACGCCCAGCGCGUCGGCUCCGGCGCCCCCGUCUACCUCGCCGCCGUCCUCGAGUACCUCGCAGCCGAGGUGCUGGAGCUGGCCGGGAACGCCGCCAAGGACAACAAGAAGACCCGCAUCGUGCCGAGGCACCUGCUGCUGGCCAUCCGCAACGACCAGGAGCUCGGGAGGCUGCUGUCCGGCGUCACCAUCGCCCACGGCGGCGUGAUCCCCAACAUCAACCCGGUGCUGCUCCCCAAGAAGGCCGCCGAGAAGGCUGAGAAGGCCGGCACCGCCGCCAAGUCGCCCAAGAAGGCCACCAAGUCCCCCAAGAAGGCCACCAAGGCCUAG